AUUGAACGCUGGCGGCAUGCCUUACACAUGCAAGUCGAACGGCAGCACGGGUGCUUGCACCUGGUGGCGAGUGGCGAACGGGUGAGUAAUAUAUCGGAACGUACCUUAUUGAGGGGGAUAACGCAGCGAAAGCUGUGCUAAUACCGCAUAAUCCCUAAGGGGGAAAGCGGGGGACCGUAAGGCCUCGCGCAAUUAGAGCGGCCGAUACCUGAUUAGCUAGUUGGUGAGGUAAAGGCUCACCAAGGCAACGAUCAGUAGCUGGUCUGAGAGGACGAUCAGCCACACUGGGACUGAGACACGGCCCAGACUCCUACGGGAGGCAGCAGUGGGGAAUUUUGGACAAUGGGGGCGACCCUGAUCCAGCAAUGCCGCGUGAGUGAAGAAGGCCUUCGGGUUGUAAGCUCUUUUGUCAGGGAAGAAACAGCAGCUCUAACACAGUUUGCGAAUGACGGUACCUGAAGAAUAAGCACCGGCUAACUACGUGCCAGCCGCCGCGGUAA
rnacentral:rRNA from 1 species